AUUGAACGCUGGCGGCAGGCCUAACACAUGCAAGUCGAGCGUGGUUUUCGGAACCAGCGGCGGACGCGUGAGUAUUGCGCAGGAAGCUACCCGAUAGAGGGGGAUAUCAGUUGGAAACGACUGUUAAUACCGCCUAAUGUCUCCGGACCAUAGUGGGGGACCUUCGGGCAACCUGCUAUCGCAUGCGACUACGUGGGAUUAGCGAGUUGGUGAGGUAAUGGCUCACCAAGGCGUAGAUCCCUAGCUGGUUUGAGAGGAUGAUCAGCCUCACUGGAACUGAGACACGGUCCAGACUCCUACGGGAGGCAGCAGUGGGGAAUAUUGGACAAUGGGCGCAAGCCUGAUCCAGCCAUGCCGCGUGUGUGAAGAAGGCCUUCGGGUUGUAAAGCACUUUCAGUAGGGAGGAAGCGUUGUGUGUUAAUAGUACACAGCGUUGACGUUACCUACAGAAGAAGCACCGGCUAACUCUGUGCCAUCAGCCGCGGUAAGAC
rnacentral:rRNA from 1 species